rnacentral:rRNA from 1 species
GGAGGGUGCAAGCGUUAAUCGGAAUUACUGGGCGUAAAGGGCGCGUAGGUGGAAAUUUAAGUUGGCUGUGAAAGCCCCGGGCUUAACCUGGGGUAGUCAGCCGAAACUGGAUAACUAGAGUACAGUAGAGGGUAGUGGAAUUUCCGGUGUAGCGGUGAAAUGCGUAGAUAUCGGAAGGAACACCAGUGGCGAAGGCGACUACCUGGACUGAUACUGACACUGAGGCGCGAAAGCGUGGUUAGCGAACAGGAUUAGAUACCCUGGGUAGUCCACGCCGUAAACGAUGUCAACUAGCUGUUGGUGCAUUAAGGUGUGCAAGUAGCGAAGCAAACGCAUUAAGUUGACCGCCUGGGGAGUACGAUCGCAAGAUUA